rnacentral:rRNA from 1 species
GAUGAACGCUGGCGGCGUGCUUAACACAUGCAAGUCGAACGGAAAGGCCCAAGCUUGCUUGGGUACUCGAGUGGCGAACGGGUGAGUAACACGUGGGUGAUCUGCCCUGCACUUCGGGAUAAGCCUGGGAAACUGGGUCUAAUACCGGAUAGGACGAUGGUUUGGAUGCCAUUGUGGAGAGUUUUUUCGGUGUGGGAUGAGCUCGCGGCCUUUCCGCUUGUUGGUGGGGGAAUGGCCUACCCAGGCGUCGACGGGGAGCCGGCCUGAGAGGGGGUACGGCCACAUUUGGGCUGAGAUACGGCCCAGACUCCGACGGGGGGCAGCAGUGGGGAAUAUUUCACAAUGGGGGCGAGCCUGAUGCAGCGACGCCGCGUGGGGGAUGACGGCCUUCGGGUUGUAAACUCCUUUCGCUAGGGACGAAGCGUUUUUGUGACGGUACCUGGAGAAGAAGCACCGGCUAACUACGUG